ensembl:lncRNA
AUGGACCGGGUAUGUCUUCUGUCCGGCCCAUCAGCUAUAUCCUCCCCCCCAGGUCCUCUGCAGACAUGGCUAAGGAUGUCCCUGGACUCUGACUGCGUGCUGCUGUCAUUGAGGGGCUCCAGGACGUCCUGCGUCCUCCAAAGCGAGGACGAGAAGGAUGACCCCCCUGGAGCGGGAGAGGAGAGUGUCCUGGAGAUGCUGAGCUGCUCCAAGUUCUCCGGGCUGGAGACAUGGCUCUGCAUGCCGUCCUCCUUACUGCUGCCCAGCGGCCCGGACCUCACCCCCACCUCCUCCUCUUCACAUGCAUCCAACCAGCCGACCUCCUCUGCCUCAUCCUCCUCAUCCUCAGCCUCCAACUGCCGUCGCUCCACCUGCAGCGAUCCAGGAGAGACGCUCAGGUCGUGGGACGGCGACUCCUCCCUCCCCCCUCCUGCUCUCCUCCCAGUCUCCUCCACCCCCGCUGGACAGUCCUCCUCCCCCCCCCUCCUCCUCCUCCGCCGGGGGGGGCAUCAGGAAGCGUCGGCGCCUUGCUGCCAGUCCCGGAGGACUCCACUGGAACUCUGCAGGUUUGGUGCAACGGGACUGGUCACCUGACCCGUCUCCGGUGUCGGGGGAGAACGCAACAGCAGGACGAGGGGCGAGCCCCCCCCCCUGGUGCAGGUAGGCGGGGCCACGUGGGGGGCCGACCGGGCUGCCCUGAGACUCCUGAGUCGGCUGGAGAGAGGCAGGAAGAAGGUCCACGGCAUCCAGGUGAGUUCUUCUUCAUGUGACAUCUUUUGUUCAUUCAUUUAUUCGCUAUCUUUGGGUUGGAUCAGAUUUCAGAUGUCAUGAAUAUUAAACCUCUCUGGGGGUCAGAAGCAUAAACAUUCUGUCAGAGAUCAAUGAAGCACCUUCGCUCUCCGGACUCAUCCUGUUUGCCACCAUCUUGGGUUUUUUGAAAAUUGACCGGAUUCCCUCCUAAUUACGUGCGCUCGCUUUGUUAUUCCGUAACAACGUGUUUAUCCGCUACGCAAAAUAUUGUCUGACAUGAGAACUGGGCCCUUGAUCUAAAGUGUCUAAAGUACCACAAGACCUUCAAACAUUUCAAGUGAAAUACUUCUGUAAUAAUUUAUAGUAUUUCAAUUAAUAACUUCUAUUAAAGUAUUUUUUGAUUAACAGAAUAUUUAAUGAGUGAUCAACCUCACUGUGAUCAAAUGUUUACUAUUUGUUUCUUUUAUCAUCAAAUAAAAAAUAUUUAAUACGUCAAAUAAACACAGAAAGAAGCUUUAGUUUACUUUUCCACUUAUUGAUCACAUUGUCUCAGUGUGUGAAGAAGCUGCACGAGGAUGCGAUGGAGGAGGAGGAGGAGAACAACACGUGGAGGCGAUGAAAGGAGGUGAGGGAGGAGCAGGAAUGUGCUCCUCCCUCACCUCCCGCUCCGUCGUCUCAGUAAAUAAUUAAUAAAAGAUUUCCAGGCAACACAAGAAGCCGAGAGACGAAACAUGCUGAGGAGAAGCGUGGAAAAGUACUGGCAACUUUACUCCUCCACCUCCUGCUCCUCUCAUCCUCCUCCACCUCCUCCUGCUCCAUGGGGUGUGCUUCCUUCAGCAUAGGAAAGGUGCUCAUAUCUAUUUAUUUAUUCAUCCACUGAAUCCAGUUUACGGUGAAUGACACACACACACACACACACACACACACACACACACACACACAGACGUGUUUCAUACUUUGCUUAAGAUUUAAAACGUGAACCUGGAAAUGCUGAGGAUAUUUAUCCGUGAUGUGUGAUGUCAUGCUGGGUUGAACAGAAGCUUGUUUCUCCUGUUAGUGGCAUCUUCAGUCAUUUAAAACAGUUUCUGUCUCCUAGCAACAAGGUUUGUUUUUAUUAUGACCAUGAAAACAGAAGGCCGAUGGAGGAAAAUGGACAGUUGUUAAAGGGGGGGACGGGGGGCAGACGGUAAUCUUCCUGUCUUCAGUUGUCAUGGAAACAGAAUAUUUCACCCCCCAGCUGUGCGAACCCUUGCAUUGCUCCACGGACCCAGAAUCCUUCACUCUAGCCGCUGUCCUCCCACUCGCCCUCCAUCAUUAAUCUCCACCUUCACUCUGUCACCAACUGCUCCCUCAGACGUGAAGUUAACCCUGUGGUGACGCUUACAGUAGACCCAAACUGAGAUGAGUCCUCAUGUGGCGAGGAACCGAGGAGCCGAGCGAACAACCUGCUGCUCCAUGUCAGUAAGACCAUAGGAGGUGAUUGAAGAGGCUCCUCCUGCGUCUCCAUCAGUGGAGCUGAGGAGCAGCAAGUUAACAGCUUCAAGCUCCUGGGCAUCAGCAUCACAAAGAACCCUACGUGGUCCUCACACAUCUCUGACCUGGAGGAGGAACCAUCUGCUGGUAUUGGUGACAGGAAAGGAGAUUUAAAAACAACCUCCACAGCUCCUCCUCCACAUUUAUAGUUUUGUGAUGAACUCUGUAAAUAUUCUUUUAAUCAGAGCUUUAUUUUACCGCUGAUGAGUCUAAUGGUCCGAUCCAGAUGUCCGCCGGUCGAGUUGAUGCUUUGAGUCUCUAAAGGAUGCGGUGAUGUUGGAGGUCUGAUACCUGAUUGAGUGAUGAUCUCCUCUGUGUCUCCUCUCAGAGUCUGGGAACCACUGGCAGAUACGACUCCAGGAGGAAGUAAGUCAUCAUCAUCAUCAUCAUCAUCAGUCGGUUCUCUUUGAUCUUCGUGUAUUCUGAGAGCAAGAAGUCCUGAUGUGAAGAAGCAGGAGUUCUGGCCUCUGCUUUCAACAGCAACCGGAUUAAAUCGCCCUGCUUUUUGUUUUCCAUCUUCGCUCGGUGGGGUCGGGUGGAGGGGGGGUGGCUGCUGGUAGUAAAUAUUCUCUGGUACUAACAUGAAGUCACACCGAUGUCGAACUUGCUCUGACUAAAAGAAUUAAAGUGGUGGAUGAUGUUUGUUGAUUUCAGUCGUGAUGCUUCAGCCUCAUGUUUGGUCUCCUCGUCUGAGGAGACGCUGACAGCAUAUCAGACAAGAACAACAACAGCGUGAUGUUCAGAACAUUCAGCAGCAUCCGCGGCUUUAAUAACGCUCCACACACACCGAUGGGCCCAAGGCAGCCAUCAGGAAUAAUGGCCUCCGUCUACGCGUUGCCAUGGCGAUCGGGUGGAGGCGAUGAGCUCGGUGGGAGACUCUGAGGACAACUUCUGGUGUUUGUGGAUCCCAGAGCUGCUGGAGUGGAUUCUGAUAACGAGAAGCUCCAUAUAACAAUAAUCACAAAUGAGUCAACCAUUGGAAUAAAAAACUGUUUUAGUUUCAGCUUCCUCCACUCGUGCUUUUUAGAUUCCUACAGAUAUUUGUGUUAAUUUGAUUUAAUAACUUCUCUAAUGACCAGUGGAGGAUGUAUUUAAACAACUUUAACGUGUCAUCAUCACACAAAUCCGACUGAGCUGUAAACUCUGUAACUGCCUUAAUGUUGAUUUAAAACCGUCUUGUGGUUUAUUCAAUUACAAUAAUGGACUCAAACAUUUAGAUGGACAUUUGUUUAAUUAUCCAUUCAAAUCUUAAAUCAAACACCAUCUAAACAAAGUUAAUAAACUUUGGUAGUAACUGUUGUCACAUUCUACCUCCUCUCAUUCUAGUUGGCUUCCUUUCCCCACGUCCUACUUUCUCUCCCGUAUACACACGUACAGACAAGUGCAGUAAAAGACUACACAAUAGUGCAAAAGAUGACAGUUUCAUAAUUUCAGUGCUCCAACUAUUUGAUUUACAUGGAAAUAUGCAGCUAUAUAUGUUUAUAUUUGCAUAUAGAUAUAAAUCUAUUCUAUAUAACGAAUAUAUAAAUCUAUUUCUAUAUAUACAUAGUGCAUAGCUAUAUAAAUCUGUAUGUAUUCAUGUUUACAGGCGUGUUUUACUUUCGUAAAAGGUUCUCCUUCACCUGUUGCUCCUCCACGGUAACCAUGGAAACAGAGCCCAGCCAGCCAUCGCCACAAUUGUUUUAUUUCUCUCACCACACAGAGAAGCCGUAACUCCUGAUGUUCUCCGUGUGGGCGUGUGCGUGUGUGUGUGUGUAUGUGAUGUUCAUCACUGUCGUCACGAUGUACAAACAUCUGGAUUUAUGGAGCUAAUAACACUUCACUUACUUACCUUUAGGGUUACUGAUUUAAAUCGUGUGUAGACAUCGACUACUUCAUACACUAAAUGCACCCUUAUAGACGGCAAAUACUUUUAUACCAUAAAUAAACUUAAAUAUCAUGAAUAUACUUAAAUAACACAAACACACAAACUGCAAAAAAUGUCUAGAGUUAAAGUUAUUACAAUCAGCUGCUACUAUAUUUGAAUAAUUGAAUUUGGAUCUUUUCACCAUCUGAUGGUGAUCAAGAUGAUCAGAAGAAACACGUUGCAGCAGAGAAAAUAAAAUGAAUAUAUGAUAUACAGUAAUAAUAUAUGAUAUACAGUAAUAAUAUAUGAUAUACAGUAAUGAAUAUAUGAUAUACAGUAAUGAAUAUA